UACGUAGGGGGCAAGCGUUGUCCGGAAUUAUUGGGCGUAAAGAGCGUGUAGGCGGUCCGGUAAGUCAGCUGUGAAAGUCAAGGGCUCAACCCUUGAAAGCCGGUUGAUACUGUCGGGCUAGAGUCCGGAAGAGGCGAGUGGAAUUCCCGGUGUAGCGGUGAAAUGCGCAGAUAUCGGGAGGAACACCCGUGGCUAAGGCGGUUCUCUAGUACGGUACUGACGCUGAGACGCGAAAGCGUGGGGAGCGAACAGG
rnacentral:rRNA from 1 species